rnacentral:rRNA from 1 species
CGUAGGUGGUAGUGCAAGUCUGGGGUGGAAUCCCAGGGCUUAACCCUGGAACUGCCUUGGAAACUGUAUUACUUGAGUCAGUGAGGGGAGGGUAGAAUUCCUGGUGUAGCGGUGAAAUGCGUAGAUAUCAGGAGGAAGGCCUGUGGCGAAGGCGGCCCUCUGGCGCUGAACUGACACUGAGGCGCGAAAGCGUGGGUAGCAAACAGGAUUAGAUACCCUGGUAGUCCACGCCCUAAACGGUGGGUACUAGGUGUGGGGCUCGUAAGGGUUCUGUGCCGAAGCGAAAGCAUUAAGUACCCCGCCUGGGGAGUACGGCCGCAAGGUUGAA